UUGAAAACUUACAGUUUGUUCGUAAUGUUCAUGAAUCUGGGAGCUUGAUUGUGCUGCUUCACAGAGUUCAUCAUUCUUUGCAAACCUUCCUCGGACGCGGGGCCUGCUAUCUGCCAAGGUUUUUCUACAAGCGUACUGCAUUUUGUUGUGUGUUAGCAUAAUUGAAUUGGUGACAAGCGGACAACCUUGAAUGUGGAGUCUUCCAAGCCUGAUAGCUCUGUUGUAGGUAAUGUUGCUGGGUUCCCAUUGCAUCCGUUUGUCAGGUGCUGAUUAUUUCCUCCUACCUGUGUAAGAAGCCGAAGCAAUUUGCAUGGUCAGCUGAUUACUUGGCCCAUCCUUUUAUCUGGCAUCAUUGUGGUAUGUAAUAUGAUUCUCAAUGUACGCCUAGGUUCUGAAUGUUACCUGCAUCUCUGCAUUAUUAAAUGCCCCUUGCAUGGAAUCUGUGUCGCUAUAUGUUCCGGUCAGUCCUUCACCUUCCAUCAUCUUCUGAAUUUCACCAAGCAUCACCAUACUGUUGCUACUAUCACUUGCACUGUUGAAAAAUCCUCUUUGUGGUGCCUCUGCAUUGCAGCUCGGAAGAAUUGCAUCUGCUUGCUGAAACAUGGCUCCAUCCAAACCUAUGAACCCUCCAGCUAGUGCGGCUGUGAAGCACUCAUCAUAGUCUGAAGUGAUUGGCAUCAAGGCAGGUGCACUACUGCUCAUUUGCAUUGGGGGCACUUGUUCUGCAAUGGUCCCUGGAAGUUCCAUUUGAUUGAAUUGCUCUAUGCUGGCCUCAUUGAUGGCAUGUGGAUAGUAUGCUACUUCUGAAAGCCCAUCGAUCGGGGGUAGGAGCUCGGUGUCAAGAUCAUGGUGUUGCUCUUGCUCAAGGAGGGCCGUGAGAGUGUAGUCGAAGGAGGGCAAAGGGGAGUAGGCUGUGCGUACAACAGCUGGAGUUUCAUCACUGUAGCUGCAGACAGGAGGGGUGGUAGUGGUAGACGAUGAAACAUCAUCUGAGGAGGCUGGAAAUGUCUCAGAGGUAGUAGCCACUGCAGCAAAGAGGUCAUCACCAAGGCCGUCGUCACAGAAGUCAAGAAUAUGAGCAGCUAUUGGACUUGAAAUGUCCUCCUGUAAAUUUCAGAGGGACAAAACAUGAAUGUACCAAUUGUCCUAAGAAGCAACUCAUUGACAUUUCAAUUACAACCCUAAGAGCAUGCAUUGAUGCAUAGAUAGGAUGCAAGAUUGAUCAAAGAUGGCAGCGAAAGAUCUCAGAAGGAAAUGGAAUUGCUUGGUUGGAUUCAGAACAUCAUUGCAAACCUAGGAAGUACAGAGCAAGAUCUGUGGUAGAGAAACAAUUACGGUGAUGCAAUCGUCAGGAAGCAUGGCAGGCACCGUAAAUCUUCACCGAAAAUGAUCAGAUUGGCGCACAACGCAGCUUCUCAGACAAGUUUUCUCCAAUGUUACUGAUCCCCGAGAAGAGAGACGGUUCUUCUUGUGGCGGUGGUAAACGAAGAAUCAGCAUGUGUGAGGAAGGUAUGCUAAUGAAAGAGGGGUGACCAAAAAUAAGCCAGCUUGGCCAUGCAGGUGCACAUGACUAUUUUCCAAGAUGACCACAGCAAGGAAGUCCCCAGAAUUUUCUGCGCGACGAUUGCGGUCGGGAGGGUUACGGGGUUGAAAGAAAGACGUAACCAAGAAAGUAGCCAACAUAAAAUUGGAUAUCCUAAAUGCAUGUGCAUGUUCCGAUGCAAGGAUGCUAUUAUUGCGCAGGCUGUGCUUAUUUCUGGAAAGAAGUCUCAACGAAUUCGAUCGCUCUUCAAAGCUGAUAGACCGGGGCAUGCGACGGCCUCAUCUGACGGGUGUUUAACCGGUCUGAAAUAUAUUUUCCUCCAGCAUUUAUGACUUUUUGCAUGGGCGUGGUCUCCUCCUUUUAGUAGUCACUUGACAAUACAGAAAAUUGUGUUUACGGAGGAUAUGAAUUGAAUAGAUUAUAUCAUGCCAAGGUAGUAAUAAUACAGAGAGAAUAUUGCGUGUUAAUAAUGAAAAAAAAAUCUUCACGAGCGGUUUUGCUA